GCGCGCAACUUACCCACUCCUGGCGGAAGGUAGUGACGAAAAAUAACAAUACCGAACUCUUUGAGGCUCCGUAAUUGGAAUGAGUACACUUUAAACCCUUUAACGAGGAUCUAUUGGAGGGCAAGUCUGGUGCCAGCAGCCGCGGUAAUUCCAGCUCCAAUAGCGUAUACUAAAGUUGUUGCGAUUAAAAAGCUCGUAGUUGGAUCUCAGGCAUGGGCGCGCGGUCCGCCUCGCGGCGGUCACUGCGUGUUUUGUUUCCCAUCCUACGCUUCCCGGUUGUUCAGCCCAUGGUGCUCUUCGUUGAGCGUUUUGGGUGGCCGGAACGUUUACUUUGAAGAAAUUAGAGUGUUCAAAGCAGGCAUGUUGCCUGAAUAAUGGUGCAUGGAAUAAUGGAAUAGGACCUCGGUUCUAUUUUGCUGGUUUUCGGAACACGAGGUAAUGAUUAAGAGGGACAGACGGGGGCAUCCGUAUUGCGGUGUUAGAGGUGAAAUUCUUGGAUCAUCGCAAGACGAACAACUGCGAAAGCAUUUGCCAAGCAUGUUUUCAUUAGUCAAGAACGAAAGUCAGAGGUUCGAAGACGAUCAGAUACCGUCGUAGUUCUGACCAUAAACGAUGCCAACUAGCGAUUCGCUGGUGUUGCUUCAUCGACUCUGCGGGCAGCUUCCGGGAAACCAAAGUUUUCGGGUUCCGGGGGAAGUAUGGUUGCAAAGCUGAAACUUAAAGGAAUUGACGGAAGGGCACCACCAGGAGUGGAGCCUGCGGCUUAAUUUGACUCAACACGGGAAAACUCACCCGGUCCGGACAGCUGUAAGGAUUGACAGAUUGAUAGCUCUUAAUUCGGUGGGUGGUGGUGCAUGG
rnacentral:rRNA from 2 species